CAGUAGCCGCGGGAAUACGUAGGUCCCGAGCGUUGUUCGGAAUUAUUGGGCGUAAAGGGCGCGCAGGCGGCUUCUUAAGUCUGUCUUAAAAGUGCGGGGCUUAACCCCGUGAUGGGAUGGAAACUGGGAAGCUCAGAGUAUCGGAGAGGAAAGCGGAAUUCCUAGUGUAGCGGUGAAAUGCGUGGAUAUUAGGAGGAACACCAGUGGCGAAAGCGGCUUUCUGGACGAAAACUGACGCUGAGGCGCGAAAGCCAGGGGAGCGAACGGGAUUAGAGACCCGUGUAGUCCCUGUCUCUUAUAC
rnacentral:rRNA from 1 species